rnacentral:rRNA from 1 species
GACGAACGCUGGCGGCGUGCUUAACACAUGCAAGUCGAACGGUAAGGCCCUUCGGGGUACACGAGUGGCGAACGGGUGAGUAACACGUGGGUGAUCUGCCCUGCACUUCGGGAUAAGCCUGGGAAACUGGGUCUAAUACCGGAUAGGACCACUUCCUGCAUGGGUGGUGGUGGAAAGCUUUUGCGGUGUGGGAUGGGCCCGCGGCCUAUCAGGUUGUUGGUGGGGUGAUGGCCUACCAAGGCGACGACGGGUAGCCGGCCUGAGAGGGUGACCGGCCACACUGGGACUGAGAUACGGCCCAGACUCCUACGGGAGGCAGCAGUGGGGAAUAUUGCACAAUGGGCGCAAGCCUGAUGCAGCGACGCCGCGUGAGGGAUGACGGCCUUCGGGUUGUAAACCUCUUUCAGCACCGACGAAGCGCAAGUGACGGUAGGUGCAGAAGAAGGACCGGCCAACUACGUGCCAGCAGCCGCAGUAA